CCGGGGACACAAUGUAAACAGUGCGGGCAGAAUGCCUUAGCCGCGCUCACCCUGCUUCCUCGACGUUUCGCGAAGAGAUCAGAGGUGGAGUGGGCCACCGCGGCCCGGGAUACUUCCCUCGAUGCCCUCGGGUGCAAGCCACAGUUUAAAGAUUUGGGCUGGAGCUUGUGUCUGUGUCAGCAGCCAAAAUAAUGCUAGGCGUCGUCUUGUGAAGGUUUCGGGAUUCCGAAAGCGUUAGUCACCUCUUCCUCAAACAAUAAGAAGCAAAAGCAAGAAGACAUAAUUCCUACAGAAAGAACUAGGCUGUGUCGCCACCAUGAGCUGAACAAGAUGACCACUUCUGGAGCAGAUAACUGUGGAUAGUGGCCCUCUGUCCUCUGAGAGUCAUCAGUGACUGGAAUCCAUGGAGUUACUUAUCUCUGCCUUCACCCUUGAAAAGAUUGGAUAGACAGAUAACCCUUGAGUGAUUGACAUGCCUAAAUACAGAGAUUCUUUUAGAUUGUUUGUUGGCACAGCUGUCAGCUUGACACAAACCUAGACAGAGGCAAGUGGGAACUCCAUUGAGGAACUGCUUCCAUCCGCCUGGGCAUGACCAUGGGGCGUUUUCGUAAUUGCUGGAUGAUGUGGGUAAGCCAGGGCCACUGUGGGAGUCCCAUCCCUGCACAAGCGCACCCCGGCCGUAGAAGAAAAGCAGCUGAGCAAGCCGGGAGCAGCAUUCCUCCACCAUCUCGGCUUCACUUCCUGCUCCUGGUUUCUACCUUGAGUUUCUGCAUUGGCUCCUUCAGGGCAGGACUGUACUCUGCCAGCCAAAUAAACCCCUCCCUCCCCGCACUGCCUUUGUGAGUGUUUAAUCACGGCAGUGAAAAGCAGACGAGGACACCACCACCCAGUUCCGCCGUGAGGAAUUUUUAGCGUAUGUACUGCACCUGAGAGAAAUAUCUAUAAGAUAAUUUUCUUUGUUUAUUUGUUUUAAAACUCACUGAUGUGAGGAUGUGCAUGUAUAGUUGUGUUGACACACAUGUGCCAUGGGCACAUUUGUGGAGGUCAAAGGACCACUUAUUGAGACAGUAUGUCUCUGUGUAGCCCUGGCUGUCCUGGGAUUCCCUAUGUACACCCACCUGCCUCUGCUGGGAUUAAAGGCAUGCACUCCCUCGCUCAGCUAUAAGGCCAUCCUUGAGAGUCAGUUUUCCCUUUGAUAUCAACGUCAAAAGUCUUGGCAGCAAGCACUUUUGCCCAUGAACCAUU